ACUGUUACAGCAUUUGGAAGCCUUUGGAGAGUCUGGGAUGCUGAGACUCAACCCAUGAGCUGCCAGUGCCUGCAGAGGAGGCUGUCCCAUCACUGCAAUCUUACAACCUGAACAGGGACUGAGCAGAUAAUGUGAGGACUAAGCAAAGGAAAUAUUUGUUUUUAUGCCUCUAGUAAAAGGAAAUUUGGAACAAU
rnacentral:lncRNA from 1 species